ensembl:lncRNA
AUGUGUAUAUUUUCUAUCUUUAGGUGUGAGACCAAUAAACAAUUGCAGGAAGAAAACGAGGAACUUGAGCAAGAACCUGCAGCAAAUCUUGAGGAAUUCACUAGUCAAGAAGAACUGUUGGGUUAUUUGCAAAGUUUUGAGAUUCUGAAUGAAGACGAUGCUGCUUUUAUCCUAAAAGUAACGCAGACUCUCACAGAUGCACUGGUGGAAUAUCGUCAGCGGUCUGCAUCAAAAAAAGAUCUCUUAGAUACCGAACAUAAUGGAGGAGAAGUAUUGGAACAUUCCACAGAGCAAUCUGACCUGAAUUCUGCAGAUAUUAGUGAUUCGGAUACUGACUAUUCAAGCAGCCGAUCAGCUAAGAAGUCCUUGUCAGUAACUGAGGAAGAUGACCUGCAAAACUUCUCAGCUGGCACUUUGGAAGCAGCAUAUGAGAACAACAUCACUGCUGAAUUUUUGAACAGUGUAAGAAAUAUGAAUGUUGAGGAAGUUACUGCUACUCUACACAAAAUAGCAGCAGCAAACCCAGCUUUCAGAGGAAUUGAUAUUCCAAAUGUUGUAAGGAUCCUGACUGAAAGUGGGACUCUGAGAAGACCAAGCAAUGGCAGCACACGGUGA